AUUGAACGCUGGCGGAAUACUUUACACAUGCAAGUCGAACGGUAGAGGGGGCAACCCCUCGAGAGUGGCGAACGGGUGAGUAAUAUAUCGGAACGUGCCCAGUCGUGGGGGAUAACGUAGCGAAAGUUACGCUAAUACCGCAUACGAUCUAAGGAUGAAAGCGGGGGAUCGCAAGACCUCGCGCGAUUGGAGCGGCCGAUAUCAGAUUAGGUAGUUGGUGGGGUAAAGGCUCACCAAGCCAACGAUCUGUAGCUGGUCUGAGAGGACGACCAGCCACACUGGAACUGAGACACGGUCCAGACUCCUACGGGAGGCAGCAGUGGGGAAUUUUGGACAAUGGACGCAAGUCUGAUCCAGCCAUUCCGCGUGCAGGAUGAAGGCCCUCGGGUUGUAAACUGCUUUUGUACGGAAUGAAAAGGUCUCUCUUAAAACGGGGGGCUCAUGACGGUACCGUAAGAAUAAGCAUCGGCUAACUACGUGCCAGCAGCCGCCGUAA
rnacentral:rRNA from 1 species